GUAGGGAUGCCAUGUCCAUGCCUUGGAGAGAAGAGGAGCGUUCUCUGCUGGCUGGGGAAUGACCAUCGUGAGGGGGAUGAUCGGGUCGGGGAGCAUCACGAAAAUGUUCAUGACCCGGCCCUGAAACAAGAAACAAAUCUCCUUACAGGAAAGCACAGUGCGACCAAAAGCAGAUGGGAAUGACACUGUUGAGAGGAGGGAGCAACUCAGAAGCCACCGUUCACUCAUGCUGAAUGCCCACCACAGGCCCGGGACCAGGUGUCCUUAGUAACUCGCUCACCUCGUGGGGUACCCCGACCUCGACCUCUGAGAUCUCGUCCUCGGGCCGCUUCCUCAGAAGCAUCAAAAUUCUCCUCUGGACCAAAGUCUUCAGGACCAGGAAAACCAUCCCUUCCUCUCGGGGGAGCACGGCCCUCAUGCCUCGGCGGGGCUCCUCUUCUGAAACUGUAAAGCGAAAACAGCAGAAUGUCCAUCUCAGGGAACACCUUGCCACUAAGUUCACGUUUCAAAAAAGCAUGUGAUAUGAGAAAGCAUGAUAUAAUGCUGAUUGGGAGGAAAACAAAAUAAAACUGUAUUUUGAAAGGA